rnacentral:misc_RNA from 1 species
AACGCACGAGACCUGCGGACCUGCGGAAGGAUCAUUACAGAGUUCAUGCCCUCGCGGGUAGAUCUCCCACCCUUGUGUAUCUCAUAUUUUUGUUGCUUUGGCAGGCCGUUAAUUCGUUAACCACCGGCUCUCGGGCUGGUGCGCGCCUGCCAGAGGAUCUCUCAAACUCGGUUUGUCAGUGUCGUCUGAGUAACCAUAACAAUCGUUAAAACUUUUAACAAUGGAUCUCUAGAUCGGAAG